rnacentral:rRNA from 1 species
UCAUUAUUGAAAUAAACCUGAUGAGUUGCUGCUGGUUCUCUAGGGAGCAUGUGCACACUUGUCAUCUUUGUAUUUUCACCUGUGCACCUUUUGUAGACUUGAGUAUCUCUCUGAGUGCUUAGCACUCAGGAUUGAGGAUUGACUUUCCAGUCUUUUCUUACAUGUUCAGGUCUAUGUUUCUUCAUAUACCCUAAUGUAUGUUUAAGAAUGUAAUUGAUGGGCCUUUGUGCCUAUAUAUCUAUACAACUUUCAGCAACGGAUCUCUUGGCUCUCGCAUCGAUGAAGAACGCAGCGAAAUGCGAUAAGUAAUGUGAAUUGCAGAAUUCAGUGAAUCAUCGAAUCUUUGAACGCACCUUGCGCUCCUUGGUAUUCCGAGGAGCAUGCCUGUUUGAGUGUCAUUAAUAUAUAUCAACCUCUUUGGUUGGAUGUGGGUUUGCUGGCCUCUUGAGGUCAGCUCUCCUUAAAUGCAUUAGUGGACAACAUUUUGCCAACUGUUCAUUGGUGUGAUAAUUAUCUACGCUAUUGACAUGAAGCAAGGUUCAGCUUCUAACAGUCCAUUGAUUUGGACAAAUUUAUCUUAUUAAUGUGACCUCAAAUCAGGUAGGACUACCCGCUGAACUUAAGCAUAUC